GUGGGGAAUCUUGCGCAAUGGGCGAAAGCCUGACGCAGCCAUGCCGCGUGAAUGAUGAAGGUCUUAGGAUUGUAAAAUUCUUUCACCGGGGACGAUAAUGACGGUACCCGGAGAAGAAGCUCCGGCUAACUUCGUGCCAGCAGCCGCGGUAAUACGGAGGGUCCGAGCGUUAUCCGGAUUUAUUGGGUUUAAAGGGUGCGUAGGCGGUUUUAUAAGUCAGCGGUGAAAUUUUCCGGCUCAACCGGGAUACUGCCGUUGAUACUGUAAGGCUAGGAUAUGGUUGCUGUGGGUGGAAUGUGUGGUGUAGCGGUGAAAUGCUUAGAGAUCACACAGAAUAUCGAUUGCGAAGGCAGCUCACAAAGCCAUUAUUGACGCUGAGGCACGAAAGUGUGGGGAUCAAACAGGAUUAGAUACCCCGGUAGUCC
rnacentral:rRNA from 1 species